GGCUGAACCGGGUNNCUAAUUGCUUANGGAAUUCUNGCCUAUUAGUNGGGGGACAACAUUUCCGAAAGGAAUGGCUCAAUUACCGCAUGACGUGCCUACGGGAGAAAGCAGGGGAUCUUCGGACCUUGCGCUAAUAGAUUGAGCCUAAGUCGGAUUAGCUAGUUGGUGGGGUAAAGGCCUACCAAGGCGACGAUCUGUAGCGGGUCUGAGAGGAUGAUCCGCCACACUGGGACUGAGACACGGCCCAGACUCCUACGGGAGGCAGCAGUGGGGAAUAUUGGACAAUGGGGCGGAAGCCUGAUCCAGCCAUGCCGCGUGUGUGAAGAAGGCCUUAUGGUUGUAAAGCACUUUAAGCGAGGAGGAGGCUACUCUAGUUAAUACCUAGAGAUAGUGGACGUUACUCGCANAAUAAGCACCGGCUAACUCUGUGCCAGCAGCCGCGGUAAUACAGAGGGUGCGAGCGUUAAUCGGAUUUACUGGGCCGUAAAGCGUGCGUANGCGGCUGAUUAANUCGGAUGUGAAAUCCCUGAGCUUAACUUNAGGAUUUGCCUUUCGANUACUGGUCAGCUAGAGUAUGGGAGAGGAUGGUANAAUUCCNGGUGUAGCGGNGAAAUUGCGUAAAGAUCUGGAGGGAUACCGAUGGCCAAAGNCACCCNUCUGGGCCUAAUACUGNACNCUNGAGGUNCGAAANCCUNGGGGGNNCAAACAGGAUUAAAUACCCUGGGUAGUCCNUNCCGUAAANAAAGUUNUACUACCNGUNGGGNCUUUGAGNCUUUNUGGCCCNNCUUACNCCAUANUAAACCNCUNGGGAUUNCGUCCCAAAAAUUAANUCA
rnacentral:rRNA from 1 species